rnacentral:rRNA from 1 species
UCAGAUUGAACGCUGGCGGCAGGCCUAACACAUGCAAGUCGAGCGGUAGAGAGAAGCUUGCUUCUCUUGAGAGCGGCGGACGGGUGAGUAAUGCCUAGGAAUCUGCCUGGUAGUGGGGGAUAACGUUCGGAAACGGACGCUAAUACCGCAUACGUCCUACGGGAGAAAGCAGGGGACCUUCGGGCCUUGCGCUAUCAGAUGAGCCUAGGUCGGAUUAGCUAGUUGGUGGGGUAAUGGCUCACCAAGGCGACGAUCCGUAACUGGUCUGAGAGGAUGAUCAGUCACACUGGAACUGAGACACGGUCCAGACUCCUACGGGAGGCAGCAGUGGGGAAUAUUGGACAAUGGGCGAAAGCCUGAUCCAGCCAUGCCGCGUGUGUGAAGAAGGUCUUCGGAUUGUAAAGCACUUUAAGUUGGGAGGAAGGGCAGUUACCUAAUACGUAUCUGUUUGACGUACCGAC